ensembl:lncRNA
AUGAUAAUAACAUUGUUCAACAAAGGCUUAAAACAAAAGGAAAUCAGCUGUGUACUCAAUUCAUAUGGGCAUAAAAUAAGUGAGAGGCAUCUGAGACGAGUUUUAAAACUUCUAGGGUUGAAGCGAAGAUGCCCCCAACGACCUUUUACUGAAAUCCACAAAGCAGUGGAGAGUGAGAUGAAACAGUGUUCUCCUGAACAAGGAAUCAGGGCAAUGGUAAAGCGGGUAAGGGAUGUCAGAGGAGUGCGGCCUUGUUACAGAGACGAUGUUGCUAAUAUAAUGAGGGAUAUGGAUGCAAGUGGUCUUCAGAGGAGAUCUCCUGGAAAGAAGAAAAUUCCCCGUCGGAAUUACAUCAGCCGUGGUCCAAAUGACACCUGGCACAUUGAUGGCAAUGAUAAACUGAAGUUCUUUGGAAUGUGGAUACAUUUGGGGAUUGAUGGAUUUUCCAGGAAGGUUCUAUGGCUAAAGGUGGGCACAUCCAACCGCAAACAAACUUUGUGGCCAGAUACUUCUUUGAGGCUGUUCAAGAACAGGGUGGUAUGCAAUAUACUUAAAAAGGGGGUUAAAAAAAGAUUACAUUUUGGUUAUAAAUUUAUUUUUUCAUCAUUCACUAAUUAUCUUCAGUUUGUGUCUUUAGGCUGUCCUCAAAUGAUUCGGGGGACAGAGGAAAGGAGAACCUUGUUGUUGGUCAAAUGCAGAUGGCAUUUCACAUGCGAGAUCUUGGGAAUCAGGCAUGGAGGUGCUUCAGAAUGGGGACAUCAGUGCACAACCAGAGAGCUGAAUGUUUUAACAGUAUUUUAAAGCGGACAUGGAUUAAGAAAUGGCUGACAACAUUUGAGGUAAAGCAAAUCUUUCACCUGUAAAACCUAAUAACAAAGACUAGCCAUCAAAAUUGCGCUAAACAUACGAUGGAUUAGUUUAUCUGAAAACACUAUGCUGGAAUUUUUUUUUUUUUUGUACAUCUGUACCUUUUCACUGAUGAAAUGCUCACCUUCACAACUUAUGUCUUUUCAAACCACAUGCUUAGGCCAUGAUGGAGUCUGGGAUCCUUGAACUGGACAAUCCUGUGCACAUGUAAGUCAAUAUUUUAGACAUGAAAAAUGAUCAAGCAGCAGUAUGAAAGUAUGUGGUCUAGGAAUGCCUUUGUUUUUUGAGUACUGAUUAAAAAUUAGCUUUUACAUAUUCUUCCUCAAAGAAGCAGAUGAACAUAUUAACUUUUUAAUUAUCCUUUUUCAUAGCAACUGCUUGCAGUACUCACACUUGCCACUGCUUCAAAGAGACUUAAAAACGGAGCAAACAGUUUGGAACACCCAUGACAUCCGCAAGCAACGCAAUGCACCAGGUCCAUUUGGGAAACCCGACCUUCUGUUUACCUCACCACCUCCUGGUAUGUCAUUUGAAAGUCUGUGGGGUUUUUUUCUUUUUUUUCUUUUAACUUUCAUUAGUUUACUUUUACUUUAAUAUAGCACUCUUCACAGGAUAAAAACCACAAAGUGGCUUCACAAUAAUAUAAAACAGACAUAACAGCACAAUCGAACAUACAGAAUAAAUACAAUCAAGGAAACAUAAUGAUGUAGGGCAGAGCAUUUCAUGACCUGGGAGCCACCGUUCUGCAAGAUCUAUUGCCUCUGGUCUUCUGGUGGGACUACUAACAGCCAUUGAUUAGAUGAUCACAGGCUGGGAGAGGGAGUGUGGGGUUCUAUAAGAUCAGAAAUGUAGGC